rnacentral:lncRNA from 1 species
UUGAGAAGAACUAUUUUGAUAAUUUGUUCAACACAAUGAUGGAUGAUAAGAAUAAGACAAAAGAUAACCUGAAGGCUAGACUGGACUUGUAAGAAUAUUGCAGACGACCUGAAUUACAUUUGCAGUAAGUGAACAAUUGUUAGGUGUUCAAGCCCAAGGCCAGCUACACAUUCACCUUGGAACAAAGACAACAGAUUUGUGAGUGUGUUACAAACCUAAAGAUGCCCGAGGACUAUGCAUCAAACAUGGGUAAACGUGCCAAUAUGGUUGAGGGAAAGCUGACUCAUAUGAAAAGUCAUGACUGUCAUAUAUU